UACGUAGGGGGCUAGCGUUGUCCGGAAUCAUUGGGCGUAAAGAGCGUGUAGGCGGUCCGGUAGGUCCGCUGUGAAAGCCGGGGGCUCAACCCUGGAAUGCCGGUGGAUACUGUCGGGCUAGAGUGCGGAAGAGGAGAGUGGAAUUCCUGGUGUAGCGGUGAAAUGCGCAGAUAUCAGGAAGAACACCCGUGGCUAAGGCGGCUCUCUAGUACGGUACUGACGCUGAGACGCGAAAGCGUGGGGAGCGAACAGG
rnacentral:rRNA from 1 species